AAAUACUCCAAGACAAGUAAAAAAUCCUUCCUUAAAUCUCAUAAGUAAAAGUCUGUAAGUAUUGUCAGCAGCAUUCACCUGGACUAUGAUAUAUAUUAGGAUUAUUUUCUAGAUGUUAUGUUGAUUUAAAUGAAAAAUGUUUGUGUCUUAUCAGUGAUCUCUGACUGAAUAAUGAGAGAAGAAACAAUCAGAGAUCGGAAACGGCUGCAGGACUACACCCACUUCCUCUUUUAAAAGAAAUUGUGAAAUUGAGCUUGUGACCACUGAAUAUUGGGCAACAUGAGCAGAGAAUGUGUGUGUGUGCUGAAAUCCAGAAAAUGUGUGUGUGACACUUGUGGGAAACUAAACAGUAUGUAAACAGCAGAAAGUGCCAUUAAAACAGAGUUUUUACUGGACAUCUCUGCAGUUUGGAUCAUGUGAGAUUAUUCUCAGGAUAUUGGACUAAACUCUGCAAAAUCAAAGUGUUGACUGGACUGGAACACUAGUCUGAAGAACUGAUGGAGUAUUUUGUUUAACCCAAACAGAAGAAGGAUUUUUGCAGCGAGCUGGAGUUGGGAUUUUAUCUUUUCCCCUGAAGACAGAAGGACUUUACUAGAGACUUGGACUCUGCAAGGAGUCAACCAGCCUUUAGUAACUGAUUCACCUUGAUGAGCGUCGUUGCGGUGGUGUGGUCUGCUUAGAGCGCAGCUACAUCCCGGUUUUGCGCCAGCUCGGUAGCAGUUGCGGGACGCUCUGCUGUGGAACCGGUAAGCGAGGUUUCCUCUCUCCACUAAACCACCGGUGCAUGCAACCUGUUGAUACGCAUUGUGUCUGCAGCGCGUCGCAGUGGUGGUGCUGCUGCUCGCCCUCCGCCUCGGAGCGGCUUGUGCUGGUCGCCGUGUCCGGAGGUAGAGCCGCUCCUUUGUGCUGCUGCUGCGCUCCUGUCAGCUGAGGUUGAAGGAAAACUUACUGGUUUUGUGUGCAGCUCUAGAGCCGCCUGUGUUCCGGCUCCCACGUCCCCUCAGUCCUCCCCGUAUGCUUAGUUUCUUAGUUUUUUUUUGUUUACCAGCAAUACCUGCAAAUUCUUUUAGUGAGUGUUAGAUACCUUUUUAUUUCAUUGUUAAAAAUAAAAUUGUAAUUUGGGAA